CCCUUAGAUGUUCUGGGCCGCACGCGUGCUACACUGAGUGGAUCAGCGGGUCAGGUUGCGCGAAAGCGUUUCCUAAUCUUUAAAUCCGCUCGUGAUGGGGAUUGACGGUUGCAAUUUUCUGUCAUGAACGAGGAAUACCUUGUAAGCGCGGGUCAUCAUCCCGCGCUGAAUACGUCCCUGCCCUUUGUACACACCGCCCGUCGCUCCUACCAAUUGAGUGGUCCGGUGAGGCUUUGGGAUCUGAGCGGAAAGAGCGUUUCGCUGUUUCUGCUCGGAAAACUCAGUCGAACCUUAUCAUUUAGAGGAAGGAGAAGUCGUAACA
rnacentral:rRNA from 1 species